rnacentral:rRNA from 1 species
UACGAGGGGUCCAAGCGUUGUUCGGAAUUACUGGGCGUAAAGCGGGUGUAGGUGGACUGAUCAGUCGGAUGUGAAAGCCCUGGGCUCAACCCAGGAAGUGCAUCCGAUACUGUCAGUCUUGAGACUGGGAGAGGGAAGUGGAAUUCCUGGUGUAGCGGUGAAAUGCGUAGAUAUCAGGAGGAACAUCGGUGGCGAAGGCGGCUUCCUGGCCAUGUACUGACACUCAGACCCGAAAGCGUGGGUAGCAAACAGGAUUAGAUACCCCCGCGUACGA